GACGAACGCUGGCGGCGUGCUUAACACAUGCAAGUCGAGCGGAAAGGCCACUUCGGUGGUACUCGAGCGGCGAACGGGUGAGUAACACGUGGGCAACCUGCCCCGGACACCGGGAUAACCCAGGGAAACCUGAGCUAAUACCGGAUACUCCGGCGUGAUCGCAUGGUCGCGCCGGGAAAGCCCCGACGGUCCGGGAUGGGCCCGCGGCCUAUCAGCUUGUUGGCGGGGUAACGGCCCACCAAGGCGACGACGGGUAGCUGGUCUGAGAGGACGGCCAGCCACACUGGGACUGAGACACGGCCCAGACUCCUACGGGAGGCAGCAGUGGGGGAUCUUGCGCUAAUGCGCGAAAGCGUGACGCAGCGACGCCGCGUGGGGGAUGAAGGCCCUCGGGUUGUAAACCCCUUUCGGCAGGGACGAAGCGAAAGUGACGGUACCUGCAGAAGAAGUCCCGGCUAACUACGUGCCAGCCGCCGCAGUAAUAC
rnacentral:rRNA from 1 species